UACGUAGGGUGCACGCGUUGUCCGGAUUUAUUGGGUUUAAAGGGUGCGUAGGCGGUCUAUUAAGUCAGUGUUUAAAUUUUGCAGCUUAACUGUAGGUAUGGCAUUGAUACUGAUGGACUUGAAUAUUAUAGAGGUAGCUGGAAUUUAUGGUGUAGCGGUGAAAUGCAUAGAUACCAUAAGGAACACCGAUAGCGGAGGCAGGUUACCAUGUGAUUAUUGACGCUGAGGCACGAAAGUGUGGGGAUCAAACAGG
rnacentral:rRNA from 1 species